rnacentral:rRNA from 1 species
UACGGGAGGCAGCAGCCGCGGUAAUAUUGCGCAAUGGGGGAAACCCUGACGCAGCGACGCCGCGUGAAGGAAGAAGGCCUUCGGGUUGUAAACUUCUUUGAUCGGGGACGAAGGAAGACGGUACCCGAGGAACAAGCCACGGCUAACUACGUGCCAGCAGCCGCGGUAAU